GGAGGCAACAACUUUCAAGACACGUGGACUUCAACUCCCAGGAUUCCCAGCCACGGCUUCCCGUGCUGCACUGCGAUUGGCUCCCUCUGGCCGCCUUUCAAAAAGAGAGCUUUGCCAUUGGUUGCGCAGAUGGGGCACGCUGGCAAUUGGGCGUUGCUAGGGAGACGGAGGCGUGUUCCUGCUCCGCCCAGGCCCCGUUCGACUCUCCUGGCAGACGAAGUUCUCUCAAGCCAAGCCCGUCCCGAUGGCGGGGAGCAACCAAGCCCUCAUAGCAAGCAUAGAACAAAAUAACUCACUGGAUGAAAAUGGACUGAAUCACCAGCAUAAUGCAGCAUCAAGGACAUCAGACAAUAUUGCUCCACCUUACCUAUGACACUAAUAUACUCAGCAUACUGAAAUUGCUAUGGUAUAGCACUAGAAUUUUUCAAAAACUAAGAGACAUUUUGAGUAGUUUGGUCUUUAAAUAUAUUUAUAUCUCACUUUUAUAGUGAGCUGCUUACCAGGACGGUUACUUACAUAGUUAGAUAAAAUAGCAAUGAUAUUAUCGAAAAUAGAAUAUGUGAAUUGGAUGUUAUUUUCUUUCCUAUAGCAUUUUCAACACACACACACACACACACACUUCUACUGCCACUGUUCCUCAGUCAAACCACAACUGUUGAAGAUAACCAGUUCUGUAAACUAACAUUCAGAAAGAUCCCAGUUGGGAAAACCUGCCAUCAAAUAAAUAUAUUUGUACUUUGUUCCUGGAAGAAUGUAAAGAAA